ACAACUCCUAAAAAGAGGAGGAGUUAAUGUGCGGACGACGAAGUAGUUCUGAUUCAAGGUGGAGGUAAUGGCAAUCCAUAACAGUGACAUAUACCUGCUCUCAGAUAGACAAGCAGCACUUAAGGCCCUUGACUCCUUCAAAACCACCUCAGCAACCAUAACUGAGUGCCGAAAACCUCUUAACGAAAUGGCCAACCAUCUCAGAAUCCACCUUAUAUGAGUGCCUGGUCACCGCGACAUUGUAGGCAAUUGCGUAGCUGACGAGCUGGCUAGACAAGGGACGAUCGCCGAUAUUCUUCCCGAGAAGGCCACGUCUUUUUGAUAGCAGAUGGCACUCAAUCUUACUUGGCCCACACGUAACUCCAAAAGAACAUGGGCACUCAUACAGUGCACCUUAUCGGCGCACUUACAGGACACUGCCUCAUAGGCAAUCGUGCGCGAAGGUUAAGAGUCCAACACCAUGACUUCUGCCGUAGUUGCAAGCAGAUAGACAAGGAGGAAACCAUACACCACCUCCUGUGUCUGUGUCCUACACACACCCAAAAAAGAUUCCUACACCUAGGAAGCUAUACCUUGCCCAACCUUAAAGCUAUACCGCACAUCAAACUGGCCGAUCAUUCACGAUUCUUGCAUCAUACCAGAUGGUUCGAGAAGACAACCCUGUAACGAGGUUAGGGACUGACCUCAGAGAUUAUAUAGCAUCCCAAAGGGCCUUUGCGGCCAUACCUAACCUAACCUAACCUAAAGUAUCUCUUAAUUGUAUUUUGAGACUUA